rnacentral:lncRNA from 12 species
GUUUGGCUUUGUAGAUACUUGUUAUUACCAGUUGGGUAACGUAGCUGCAUUGUAAUUCCAUUGUUGGAAACACCUACAGACAAUCUUUCCUUUAUAGGAUAAUCAGGGACUUGGGUUGUUUAUACAAUGAAUCACCUAAAUAGAAAUGGCAAGCAAUUUGAAAGAAACAGAAUUUGUUCUCUAUUUCAGAGUAAAAUCUUCACCACCCAUCCCCCACUCCUGACUUUCUAUCUGUAUGUGAAAAUCUCUCUGCAUCAGCCAAUAACAAGAAACAGCCUCCAGCUGGAUCUGGUUGAGCCAGACUAAAUUGCAUUUGAUUCAUUGACUUUGCUGCAAUUGGUCUGUAUAACAGUAUGGCAGAGAUCCAGCAUUGCAAUCCUUUUGUUCAUGGCAUUAAAAUGGUAUGUAGUAAGUUAGACUGAGUCUUUUGGAAUCAUUUUUAUUUGCUCAUAUAAAAAUUAUAAGACUUUGAAAUCUUACAAAUACCAACUGUGUAUAUGCAUAGAUGCACACACACACACACACACACACACAUACAUCAAGGAAGUUUGACACUUUCUACACAUGUUGAAUCAUAGCAGCAUCUUUAGAGAAUGUUUUCUCUAAAGUUCAUUUUACUCAUUAGUUUAUAAUAUAUUAAAUGUUGUGAUUAUUAUAUGCCAUAUAUUAUGCUAGAUGCUUUCAAAUCAUUAGUUCUUUCAGUCUCAUAGAAAAUCUCAUCAAAGCCAGUACUAUUAUUAUCAUCCUCAUUAAUAGCUGAUGGCAGUGGCAAGGGGGAAGUUAAGUAUCCUACCUAAUGUCAUAUAGCUACUAGGUAGUAGCCCAGGUUUGGGCUCAAAUAGUUGGAAUACAGGAUUAGUGCUGCUGCCCAUCCUACUUUGCUGGCUCCUCUCUCCCUCAUUUCCUCUCUCUCUCUCUCUCUUUCUCCCUAAUUUAACUGCAUUCUUGAGUAUCUAUUCUUUAUUUAAACUUAAAUGCAAAGAAGUAUACAUUUCAGACUCUCGAAGAAUUUAUAGACAAGUAAGGAAAAUUAUUAUGUAAAUAACAUUUAACAAAUGUUUUCAAAACAUGGAGAAUCCUCUAAUAGAUUAGAAUAGAAUGUAAGGUGUUAGAGGAUUAGAACAAUAAAUGUCCAUGAAGUUAUGUUUAAUGUCA